ensembl:lncRNA TRDN-AS1 TRDN antisense RNA 1
ACCCAGAGGUUGCAGUAAGUCUGGAUGCCACAUCAAACUGUUUGUGGUACUUCUAAACUUCGUGGAAGAGCCCUGUUUCAUAAAUCUGAGACAGCCUUGGUCUGAGGGAGCAAAGACAGAGAAUUCACGUGCUGCCCAGGCAUAGCCACAUAGCAGGUGGACAUCCCUGGACACUUUUCUGACAAAGCACGCAAUGUGGGGACAACACAGAAAUCCAAGAAAGGCAAGACCAAUUUCAAGGCACUAAAUAAGUGGACUGAGACAAGAAGUACACAGAUACUUCCCAGAACAAACUUGGUUCUAAGGAAGUUCCAGACUAAAAUAGUGCAUCAAGAGGACUGGCAUAAUCAGCCUCACUAAAAACAGCCUGAUUAAUACUAAAUAUGUCCUAGCUCCUAAUCAAUUAUGUUAACGAAGUCAUAGGCAGCACAUCUGCAAGCCCUGACAAAGCCCAUGAUCUCAGCAUUGCCUGAUAAUAUAGACUCCCCGAGCUGCUCAGGGUUAGCAGCCUUCAAGCUUUCAGAGAAGACACUGACAAAGGCUUGUGAUCCUCAAACCUUGUUAUUUUAUUCACCACAGCCUAUUACUAGGUUCUGGGAUGAACUGUCAAAUUACAUUGCUCUUUAAAUAAAAUAACAGGAGCUCAUGCCUGUAAUCCCAGCACUUUGGGAGGCCAAGGAGGGUGGAUCACGAGGUCAGGAGAUUGAGACCAUCCUGGCUAACACGGUGAAACCCCGUCUCUACUAAAAAUACAAAAAAUUAGCCAGGCAUGGUGGCGGGCGCCUGUAGUCCCAGCUACUCGGGAGGCUGAGGCAGGAGAAUGGCGUGAACCCGGGAGGCGGAGCUUGCAGUGAGCCGAGAUGGUGCCACUGCACUUCCAGCCUGGGCAGCAGAGCAAGACUCCGUCUCAAGAAAAAAAAAAAAUAAAUAAUAAAUAAAUAAAUAAAUAAAUAAAUAAAUACAAUAACAGAACCUAAGCGUCCUACUUAACAAAUGACACAUCCUUUUCCAAGUGACAGAUUGCUAAGCAAAAUAUUUGCUACUUGGUGUUUUAUGAGCCUCUGCUAGGAGAUAACUUGGCAUCAAACACUUGAAUAAUCUGACUAUCAAAGUCUCCCUCAAGUUGGGAAAUCUGAAUUCGUUGCUUUAUGUCCAUCUGGAAACAACAACAGAAUUAGAAUCCCAUGAAAAAUUAAGGCAACGCUAUUAUUUAUAGGGGUUGUCUUGUCCAAUGAACAUUUUGGCGAGUGAGAUAGUUUUGUGUCAAAUUCUCUUAAGUCAUGUGAACUAUUAUAGUCCAAAUGCCAAAAUAAAUGUAAUUCUGAUUUUUUUGGUCUA